rnacentral:lncRNA from 1 species
AAAUUAUUAUAUUUAUAAAUAUGUACACUUGAUUUGUUACAUGCAUAAAUAUAUAUAUAUUUAAUUCUUCUAACAUGCAUAAUAUAUAUAUACUAAAUAAUUGAUUUUUUUAGUUUCAUAAUAAAUGUUGGAAUAAUUGAUUUUACAUUAAAAAUACACAUAUUUUGUAAUAUUGUGUAAAACAAUUUAGACCGUUUUA